AUUGAACGCUGGCGGCAUGCUUUACACAUGCAAGUCGAACGGUAACAGGCCGCAAGGUGCUGACGAGUGGCGAACGGGUGAGUAAUGCAUCGGAACGUGCCCAGUCGUGGGGGAUAACGCAGCGAAAGCUGUGCUAAUACCGCAUACGAUCUAUGGAUGAAAGCGGGGGACCUGAAUGCCUCGCGCGAUUGGAGCGGCCGAUGUCAGAUUAGCUAGUUGGUGGGGUAAAGGCCCACCAAGGCGACGAUCUGUAGCUGGUCUGAGAGGACGACCAGCCACACUGGGACUGAGACACGGCCCAGACUCCUACGGGAGGCAGCAGUGGGGAAUUUUGGACAAUGGGCGCAAGCCUGAUCCAGCAAUGCCGCGUGCAGGAAGAAGGCCUUCGGGUUGUAAACUGCUUUUGUACGGAACGAAACGGUCUGGGUUAAUACCCUGGGCUAAUGACGGUACCGUAAGAAUAAGCACCGGCUAACUACGUGCCAGCCGCCGCGGUAAAAC
rnacentral:rRNA from 1 species